rnacentral:lncRNA from 1 species
CGCGCCUCCGUGUACGGCCCGCCCAUAGCUCCUUCGACGGCGCCGCCUAGGAACGCGGAGAAAAUAUGACAAAGGAACGGCCAAAAAUAAAAAGAAAGACCUUUCUUUUGAAAAAACAAACAAAAAAAGGAAUGCAACACGAGGACUUCCCAGGAGGUCACCCAUCCUAGUACUACUCUCGCCCAAGCACGCUUAACUUCAAAGUUCUGAUGGGAUCCGGUGCUUUAGUGCUGGUAUGAUCGCAUCCGACAUACCGUGCGUUCUCCUCCCCUUUAUGCCCGCGCCUCCGUGUACGGCCCGCCCAUAGCUCCUUCGACGGCGCCGCCUAGGAACGCGGAGAAAAUAUGACAAAGGAACGGCCAAAAAUAAAAAGAAAGACCUUUCUUUUGAAAAAACAAACAAAAAAAGGAAUGCAACACGAGGACUUCCCAGGAGGUCACCCAUCCUAGUACUACUGUCGCCCAAGCACGCUUAAGUUCGGAGUUCUGAUGGGAUCCGGUGCUUUAGUGCUGGUAUGAUCGCAUCCGACAUGCCGUGCGUUCUCCUCCCCUUUAUGCCCGCGCCUCCGUGUACGGCCCGCCCAUAGCUCCUUCGUCGGCGCCGCCUAGGAACGCGGAGAAAAUAUGACAAAGGAACGGCCAAAAAUAAAAAGAAAGACCUUUCUUUUGAAAAAACAAACGCCUCCGUGUACGGCCCGCCCAUAGCUCCUUCGACGGCGCCGCCUAGGAACGCGGAGAAAAUAUGACAAAGGAACGGCCAAAAAUAAAAAGAAAGACCUUUCUUUUGAAAAAACAAACAAAAAAAAGGAAUGCAACACGAGGACUUCCCAGGAGGUCACCCAUCCUAGUACUACUCUCGCCCAAGCACGCUUAACUUCGGAGUUCUGAUGGGAUCCGGUGCUUUAGUGCUGGUAUGAUCGCAUCCGACAUACCGUGCGUUCUCCUCCCCUUUAUGCCCGCCCCUCCGUGUACGGCCCGCCCAUAGCUCUUUCGACGGCGCCGCCUAGGAACGCGGAGAAAAUAUGACAAAGGAACGGCCAAAAAUAAAAAGAAAGACCUUUCUUUUGAAAAAACAAACGCCUCCGUGUACGGCCCGCCCAUAGCUCCUUCGACGGCGCCGCCUAGGAACGCGGAGAAAAUAUGACAAAGGAACGGCCAAAAAUAAAAAGAAAGACCUUUCUUUUGAAAAAACAAACAAAAAAAAGGAAUGCAACACGAGGACUUCCCAGGAGGUCACCCAUCCUAGUACUACUCUCGCCCAAGCACGCUUAACUUCGGAGUUCUGAUGGGAUCCGGUGCUUUAGUGCUGGUAUGAUCGCAUCCGACAUACCGUGCGUUCUCCUCCCCUUUAUGCCCGCGCCUCCGUGUACGGCCCGCCCAUAGCUCCUUCGACGGCGCCGCCUAGGAACGCGGAGAAAAUAUGACAAAGGAACGGCCAAAAAUAAAAAGAAAGACCUUUCUUUUGAAAAAACAAACAAAAAAAAGGAAUGCAACACGAGGACUUCCCAGGAGGUCACCCAUCCUAGUACUACUCUCGCCCAAGCACGCUUAACUUCGGAGUUCUGAUGGGAUCCGGUGCUUUAGUGCUGGUAUGAUCGCAUCCGACAUACCGUGCGUUCUCCUCCCCUUUAUGCCCGCGCCUCCGUGUACGGCCCGCCCAUAGCUCCUUCGACGGCGCCGCCUAGGAACGCGGAGAAAAUAUGACAAAGGAACGGGCAAAAAUAAAAAGAAAGACCUUUCUUUUGAAAAAACAAACAAAAAAAAGGAAUGCAACACGAGGACUUCCCAGGAGGUCACCCAUCCUAGUACUACUCUCGCCCAAGCACGCUUAACUUCGGAGUUCUGAUGGGAUCCGGUGCUUUAGUGCUGGUAUGAUCGCAUCCGACAUACCGUGCGUUCUCCUCCCCUUUAUGCCCGCGCCUCCGUGUACGGGCCGUCCAUAGCUCCUUCGACGGCGCCGCCUAUGAACGCGGAGAAAAUAUGACAAAGGAACGGCCAACAAUCAUACGAAAGACCUUUCUUUUGAAAAAACAAACAAAAAAAAGGAAUGCGACACGAGGACUUCCCAGGAGGUCACCCAUCCUAGUACUACUCUCGCCCAAGCACGCUUAACUUCGGAGUUCUGAUGGGAUCCGGUGCUUUAGUGCUAGUAUGAUCGCAUUCGACAUACCGUGCGUUCUCCUCCCCUUUAUGCCCGCGCCUCCGUGUACGGCCCGCCCAUAGCUCCUUCGACGGCGCCGCCUAGGAACGCGGAGAAAAUAUGACAAAGGAACGGCCAAAAAUAAAAAGAAAGACCUUUCUUUUGAAAAAACAAACAAAUAAAAGGAAUGCAACACGAGGACUUCCCAGGAGGUCACCCAUCCUAGUACUACUCUCGCCCAAGCACGCUUAACUUCGGAGUUCUGAUGGGAUCCGGUGCUUUAGUGCUGGUAUGAUCGCAUCCGACAUACCGUGCGUUCUCCUCCCCUUUAUGCCCGCGCCUCCGUGUACGGCCCGCCCAUAGCUCCUUCGACGGCGCCGCCUAGGAACGCGGAGAAAAUAUGACAAAGGAACGGCCAAAAAUAAAAAGAAAGACCUUUCUUUUGAAAAAACAAACGCCUCCGUGUACGGCCCGCCCAUAGCUCCUUCGACGGCGCCGCCUAGGAACGCGGAGAAAAUAUGACAAAGGAACGGCCAAAAAUAAAAAGAAAGACCUUUCUUUUGAAAAAACAAACAAAAAAAAGGAAUGCAACACGAGGACUUCCCAGGAGGUCACCCAUCCUAGUACUACUCUCGCCCAAGCACGCUUAACUUCGGAGUUCUGAUGGGAUCCGGUGCUUUAGUGCUGGUAUGAUCGCAUCCGACAUACCGUGCGUUCUCCUCCCCUUUAUGCCCGCGCCUCCGUGUACGGCCCGCCCAUAGCUCCUUCGACGGCGCCGCCUAGGAACGCGGAGAAAAUAUGACAAAGGAACGGCCAAAAAUAAAAAGAAAGACCUUUCUUUUGAAAAAACAAACAAAUAAAAGGAAUGCAACACGAGGACUUCCCAGGAGGUCACCCAUCCUAGUACUACUCUCGCCCAAGCACGCUUAACUUCGGAGUUCUGAUGGGAUCCGGUGCUUUAGUGCUGGUAUGAUCGCAUCCGACAUACCGUGCGUUCUCCUCCCCUUUAUGCCCGCGCCUCCGUGUACGGCCCGCCCAUAGCUCCUUCGACGGCGCCGCCUAGGAACGCGGAGAAAAUAUGACAAAGGAACGGCCAAAAAUAAAAAGAAAGACCUUUCUUUUGAAAAAACAAACAAAUAAAAGGAAUGCAACACGAGGACUUCCCAGGAGGUCACCCAUCCUAGUACUACUCUCGCCCAAGCACGCUUAACUUCGGAGUUCUGAUGGGAUCCGGUGCUUUAGUGCUGGUAUGAUCGCAUCCGACAUACCGUGCGUUCUCCUCCCCUUUAUGCCCGCGCCUCCGUGUACGGCCCGCCCAUAGCUCCUUCGACGGCGCCGCCUUGGAACGCGGAGAAAAUAUGACAAAGGAACGGCCAAAAAUAAAAAGAAAGACCUUUCUUUUGAAAAAACAAACAAAUAAAAGGAAUGCAACACGAGGACUUCCCAGGAGGUCACCCAUCCUAGUACUACUCUCGCCCAAGCACGCUUAACUUCGGAGUUCUGAUGGGAUCCGGUGCUUUAGUGCUGGUAUGAUCGCAUCCGACAUACCGUGCGUUCUCCUCCCCUUUAUGCCCGCGCCUCCGUGUACGGCCCGCCCAUAGCUCCUUCGACGGCGCCGCCUAGGAACGCGGAGAAAAUAUGACAAAGGAACGGCCAAAAAUAAAAAGAAAGACCUUUCUUUUGAAAAAACAAACAAAUAAAAGGAAUGCAACACGAGGACUUCCCAGGAGGUCACCCAUCCUAGUACUACUCUCGCCCAAGCACGCUUAACUUCGGAGUUCUGAUGGGAUCCGGUGCUUUAGUGCUGGUAUGAUCGCAUUCGACAUACCGUGCGUUCUCCUCCCCUUUAUGCCCGCGCCUCCGUGUACGGGCCGCCCAUAGCUCCUUCGACGGCGCCGCCUAGGAACGCGGAGAAAAUAUGACAAAGGAACGGCCAAAAAUAAAAAGAAAGACCUGUUCUUUUGAAAAAACAAACUAAAAAAAGGAAUGCAGCACGAGGACUUCCCAGGAGGUCACCCAUCCUAAUACUACUCUCGCCCAAGCACGCUUAACUUCGGAGUUCUGAUGGGAUCCGGAGCUUUAGUGUUGGUAUGAUCGCAUCCGACAUACCGUGCGUUCUCCUCCCCUUUAUGCACCCGCCUCCGUGUACGGCCCGCCCAUAGCUCCUUCGACGGCGCCGCCUAGGAACGCGGAGAAAAUAUGACAAAGGAACGGCCAAAAAUAAAAAGAAAGACCUUUCUUUUGAAAAAACAAACAAAAAAAAGGAAUGCAACACGAGGACUUCCCAGGAGGUCACCCAUCCUAGUACUACUCUCGCCCAAGCACGCUUAACUUCGGAGUUCUGAUGGGAUCCGGUGCUUUAGUGCUGGUAUGAUCGCAUCCGACAUACCGUGCGUUCUCCUCCCCUUUAUGCCCGCGCCUCCGUGUACGGCCCGCCCAUAGCUCCUUCGACGGCGCCGCCUAGGAACGCGGAGAAAAUAUGACAAAGGAACGGCCAAAAAUAAAAAGAAAGACCUUUCUUUUGAAAAAACAAACAAAAAAAAGGAAUGCAACACGAGGACUUCCCAGGAGGUCACCCAUCCUAGUACUACUCUCGCCCAAGCACGCUUAACUUCGGAGUUCUGAUGGGAUCCGGUGCUUUAGUGCUGGUAUGAUCGCAUCCGACAUACCGUGCGUUCUCCUCCCCUUUAUGCCCGCGCCUCCGUGUACGGCCCGCCCAUAGCUCCUUCGACGGCGCCGCCUAGGAACGCGGAGAAAAUAUGACAAAGGAACGGCCAAAAAUAAAAAGAAAGACCUUUCUUUUGAAAAAACAAACAAAUAAAAGGAAUGCAACACGAGGACUUCCCAGGAGGUCACCCAUCCUAGUACUACUCUCGCCCAAGCACGCUUAACUUCGGAGUUCUGAUGGGAUCCGGUGCUUUAGUGCUGGUAUGAUCGCAUCCGACAUACCGUGCGUUCUCCUCCCCUUUAUGCCCGCGCCUCCGUGUACGGCCCGCCCAUAGCUCCUUCGACGGCGCCGCCUAGGAACGCGGAGAAAAUAUGACAAAGGAACGGCCAAAAAUAAAAAGAAAGACCUUUCUUUUGAAAAAACAAACGCCUCCGUGUACGGCCCGCCCAUAGCUCCUUCGACGGCGCCGCCUAGGAACGCGGAGAAAAUAUGACAAAGGAACGGCCAAAAAUAAAAAGAAAGACCUUUCUUUUGAAAAAACAAACAAAAAAAAGGAAUGCAACACGAGGACUUCCCAGGAGGUCACCCAUCCUAGUACUACUCUCGCCCAAGCACGCUUAACUUCGGAGUUCUGAUGGGAUCCGGUGCUUUAGUGCUGGUAUGAUCGCAUCCGACAUACCGAGCGUUCUCCUCCCCUUUAUGCCCGCGCCUCCGUGUACGGCCCGCCCAUAGCUCCUUCGACGGCGCCGCCUAGGAACGCGGAGAAAAUAUGACAAAGGAACGGCCAAAAAUAAAAAGAAAGACCUUUCUUUUGAAAAAACAAACGCCUCCGUGUACGGCCCGCCCAUAGCUCCUUCGACGGCGCCGCCUAGGAACGCGGAGAAAAUAUGACAAAGGAACGGCCAAAAAUAAAAAGAAAGACCUUUCUUUUGAAAAAACAAACAAAAAAAAGGAAUGCAACACGAGGACUUCCCAGGAGGUCACCCAUCCUAGUACUACUCUCGCCCAAGCACGCUUAACUUCGGAGUUCUGAUGGGAUCCGGUGCUUUAGUGCUGGUAUGAUCGCAUCCGACAUACCGUGCGUUCUCCUCCCCUUUAUGCCCGCGCCUCCGUGUACGGCCCGCCCAUAGCUCCUUCGACGGCGCCGCCUAGGAACGCGGAGAAAAUAUGACAAAGGAACGGCCAAAAAUAAAAAGAAAGACCUUUCUUUUGAAAAAACAAACACCUAAAAGGAAUGCAACACGAGGACUUCCCAGGAGGUCACCCGUCAUCGUAGUACUCUCGCCCAAGCACGCUUAGCUUCGGAGUUCUGAUGAGAUCCGGUGCUUUAGUGCUGGUAUGAUCGCAUCCGACAUACCGUGAGUUCUCCUCCCCUUUAUGCCCGUGCCUCCAUGUACCGCCCGCCCAUAGCUCCUUCGACGGGACGCUCCUAGGAACGCGGAGAAAAUAUUACAAAGGAGCGCCCAAAAAUAAAAAGAAAGACCUUUCUUUUGAAAAAACAAACGCCUCCGUGUACGGCCCGCCCAUAGCUCCUUCGACGGCGCCGCCUAGGAACGCGGAGAAAAUAUGACAAAGGAACGGCCAAAAAUAAAAAGAAAGACCUUUCUUUUGAAAAAACAAACAAAAAAAAGGAAUGCAACACGCGGACUUCCCAGGAGGUCACCCAUCCUAGUACUACUCUCGCCCAAGCACGCUUAAGUUCGGAGUUCUGAUGGGAUCCGGUUCUUUAGUGCUGGCAUGCUCGCAUCAGGCAUGCCGCGCGUUCUCCUCCCCGGUAGGCACGCAUCUUAGUGUACGUCUCGCCCAUAGCUCCUUCGUUGGGAGCUCCUAGGAGCUCGGAGAAAAUAUGGCAAAGGAACGGCCAUAAAUAAAAAGAAAGACCUUUCUUCUGAAAAAACAAACGCCUCCGUGUACGGCCCGCCCAUAGCUCCUUCGACGGCGCCGCCUAGGAACGCGGAGAAAAUAUGACAAAGGAACGGCCAAAAAUAAAAAGAAAGACCUUUCUUUUGAAAAAACAAACAAAUAAAAGGAAUGCAACACGAGGACUUCCCAGGAGGUCACCCAUCCUAGUACUACUCUCGCCCAAGCACGCUUAACUUCGGAGUUCUGAUGGGAUCCGGUGCUUUAGUGCUGGUAUGAUCGCAUCCGACAUACCGUGCGUUCUCCUCCCCUUUAUGCCCGCGCCUCCGUGUACGGCCCGCCCAUAGCUCCUUCGACGGCGCCGCCUAGGAACGCGGAGAAGGAGUAUGACAAAGGAACGGCCAAAAAUAAAAAGAAAGACCUUUCUUUUGAAAAAACAAACAAAUAAAAGGAAUGCAACACGAGGACUUCCCAGGAGGUCACCCAUCCUAGUACUACUCUCGCCCAAGCACGCUUAACUUCGGAGUUCUGAUGGGAUCCGGUGCUUUAGUGCUGGUAUGAUCGCAUUCGACAUACCGGGCGUACUCCUCCCCUUUAUGCCCGCGCCUCCGUGUACGGCCCGCCCAUAGCUCCUUCGACGGCGCCGCCUAGGAACGCGGAGAAAAUAUGACAAAGGAACGGCCAAAAAUAAAAAGAAAGACCUUUCUUUUGAAAAAACAAACGAAUCCGAGGAAUGCAAGACGAGGACUUCCCAGGAGGUCACCCAUCCUAGUACUACUCUCGCCCAAGCACGCUUAAGUUCGGAGUUCUGAUGGGAUCCGGUGCUUUAGUGCUGGUAUGAUCGCGUCCGACGUACCGUGCGUUCUCCUCCCCUUGAUGCCCGUGCCUCCGUGUACGGCCCGCCCAUAGCUCCUUCGACGGCGCC